rnacentral:piRNA from 1 species
UCUAUAGGCGCUGAAGGAAUA